rnacentral:tRNA from 2 species
GGAGGGGCUCAGUGGUAGAGCACAUGCCUAGCAUGCAUGAGGCACUGGGUUUGAUCCCGGCACCA